AAAAAAAUUAUUUUGUCCAUCAACAUAAACAUCAGCCGUUCCGCUUCCUAGGUCAUCUUGCUAAAACAAAUUAUUUCCCUCCCUAUCCGAAAUUCAGAGCGCUAAAACAAAAAAAUUUCAUUCCUUUCUAAAAUCCAGAGCGCUAAAACAAAAAAAUUUCACUCCCUUUCCAAAAUCCAGAGCGCUAAAACAAAUAUUUUGGUUCCCUUUCUGAAUAUCAGAGCGUUGAAACUGAAAGUGAAAAUUCUUCUAUCCAGACUCAUCAAACCUUAACCCUAACGCUUUCUUUCCUUCCCCAUUGAUUCUUCCAAAGGUGUGAACAAUUCUUCUCCCGAACCCUAAUCCUUACCCUUUCUUCCCUUCUCUUUCUUCUCAAAUCCUUCAACUUGCAUACACAUAGUUAGGAUUUUAGGGUUUAUCAAGGGUUUCACGAAACUCAAGUACUUCACGAAAUUAUGUCAUUUAACGGUUUUAGGAAGUAUUUCAAUCAAAGGUUUGAAGUAAGUCUCUCACGAAGACAAUGAUUUCCCUGAGAGAUGCAAGGGUCAUAUCACACUGUGAGGAGGAGUUUUUCAUUUUCAAGUUGUGUAUGAUUCGUCGCUCUGAUAAGAUCUUCCUUCAAAUUCCAUACAAUUUCUCCUACAACUUGCAUUGACUACUGUGAUUCUCAAUAAAAAUUAGUUAUUUUUACUAUAGUUUAUGAUUUAAUCAGUUUUUCUUAUGUUUUAUCUGGUUUAGAAAUAACUUUGCUCUGCCUUGCUGGAACUUCUAGUAGCUGAGACAUUGUGUUGCCUGGUGGAACUACUCGCAGUUGAGACAGUGUGCGAGAGCUCAAUUCGUCCCGCAUGAAACACAUAGACUGAAACAACAGUGAACACAUAAUAGUGGAGCUUAGGCUAGUCGUGUCCGGUUUGAUCAAAUUUGAGAGCGAUAACACCUUCUUCCAUUCUGAGUGGAAGCCGUUGAAAGUGGUUUGCGAGCAUCUGAGAUUUGAAUGUGGUGUAUCAUUAGGUUAGAAGUGAGUAUUCUAUGCAAUUGAAUUCUUCACGGAUAAAAGUUCUUGAAGCAUUAUCAAGAUGAUUUGGUUAAUAAAAUGAAAAAGGCUGCAACCAAGGAACUCUGGAAUGUGAGUGGUGAUCCGGAAUUAUACGGAAACCUCUUAAAAAAACUCAUUAUUCAGUGAAUAACAGUACCGGUAUCAAUACCUUCUGAAACCGUUUUAUCGUGGUCGUUGAAAAUACACUUGAUGCACGUUUGGAUGUAUUGUUCUGUAGCAAACUUCCAGCGGUCAACUUCAAUCUGCCAAAAGUUGGAUGUGAAUUUUGUGCACCGUGAACAUGGUCUUUCAAUUGAAAACAACAUCAAGGGUAUCCAAUUGAAAAGCACCAAAUUUCGAUCUACUGAGGAUGUUAGAAAGAGUACACGUCUUGAUUUUCAACUGGAGUUUAGUGAAACAAAUUCAUGUACAACUUUGAUUGUGAACCAUGAUUGACAUUUGGAAUAUAUAUAUAAUGAAUUAUAUUAUUAUAUUAUUUUGUUAUGUAAUUUUUUGAAAAUGAAAGGUCAUUUUAAAAUAAAGAAUUGUGAAUGAUGAUUGAUAUUCAUUACCAGAAUAUUAAAAUAAAAUAAUUUUAAAUUUUUUAUUGCAACGGUUAUAAAUUGUUCCUAUAGCAUUGAAGGCGCUGUUGUAGCCUUUGAUUAAGAAAUCAAGUUGCGAAUCUAUUAGAACGGUUUCUAUUGAACUACGGCUACAAACCGUUUCUGUAUCCCAUAAAACAGCCGUUCCCUAAUAAAUUUCAACUGCAACGGUUUUAAUAUCAAAACGAGGUGCCACCGUUGUUGUUUGCAACCGUUCUCUAAAGAUGACUAAAGCUACGUGUGGACCUCCGAU